GUGGGGAAUUUUGGACAAUGGGCGCAAGCCUGAUCCAGCCAUGUCGCGUGAGUGAAGAAGGCCUUCGGGUUGUAAAGCUCUUUCGGCCGGGAAGAAAUCGGCGACUCUAACAUAGUCGCUGGAUGACGGUACCGGACUAAGAAGCACCGGCUAACUACGUGCCAGCAGCCGCGGUAAUACGGAGGGUGCGAGCGUUAAUCGGAAUUACUGGGCGUAAAGCGGGCGCAGGCGGUUUUGUAAGACAGAUGUGAAAUCCCCGGGCUUAACCUGGGAACUGCGUUUGUGACUGCAAGGCUAGAGUACGGCAGAGGGGGGUGGAAUUCCUGGUGUAGCAGUGAAAUGCGUAGAUAUCAGGAGGAACACCGAUGGCGAAGGCAGCCCCCUGGGCCUGUACUGACGCUCAUGCACGAAAGCGUGGGGAGCAAACAGGAUUAGAAACCCGGGUAGUCC
rnacentral:rRNA from 1 species